CGUAGGGUGCGAGCGUUAAUCGGAAUUACUGGGCGUAAAGCGUGCGCAGGCGGUUUUGUAAGCCAGAUGUGAAAUCCCCGGGCUUAACCUGGGAAUGGCAUUUGGGACUGCAAGGCUUGAGUGCGGCAGAGGAGACUGGAAUUCCUGGUGUAGCAGUGAAAUGCGUAGAUAUCAGGAGGAAUACCGAUGGCGAAGGCAGGUCUCUGGGCUGACACUGACGCUCAUGCACGAAAGCGUGGGGAGCAAACAGGAUUAGAUACCCUGGUAGUCCACGCCCUAAACGAUGUCGACUGGUUGUUGGGGGUUUGACACUCUCAGUAACGAAGCUAACGCGUGAAGUCGACCGCCUGGGGAGUACGGCCGCAAGGUUA
rnacentral:rRNA from 1 species